GAGGAGCUUGUAGAGGCAAACCA
rnacentral:snRNA from 1 species